CGCUAUCACUCCUACGGGGAGGCAGCAGUAGGGAAUCUUCCACAAUGGGCGCAAGCCUGAUGGAGCAACACCGCGUGAGUGAAGAAGGGUUUCGGCUCGUAAAGCUCUGUUGUUAAAGAAGAACACGUAUGAGAGUAACUGUUCAUACGUUGACGGUAUUUAACCAGAAAGUCACGGCUAACUACGUGCCAGCAGCCGCGGUAAUACGUAGGUGGCAAGCGUUAUCCGGAUUUAUUGGGCGUAAAGAGAGUGCAGGCGGUUUUCUAAGUCUGAUGUGAAAGCCUUCGGCUUAACCGGAGAAGUGCAUCGGAAACUGGAUAACUUGAGUGCAGAAGAGGGUAGUGGAACUCCAUGUGUAGCGGUGGAAUGCGUAGAUAUAUGGAGGAACACCAGUGGCGAAGGCGGCUACCUGGUCUGCAACUGACGCUGAGACUCGAAAGCAUGGGUAGCGAACAGGAUUAGAUACCCUGGUAG
rnacentral:rRNA from 1 species